rnacentral:rRNA from 1 species
UACGGGGGGGGCAAGCGUUGUUCGGAAUUACUGGGCGUAAAGGGUCUGUAGGUGGCCAUCUAAGUCAGACGUGAAAUCCCUCAGCUUAACUGGGGAACUGCGUCUGAGACUGGAUGGCUCGAGUGCAGGAGAGGAAUGCGGAAUUCCAGGUGUAGCGGUGAAAUGCGUAGAUAUCUGGAGGAACACCGGUGGCGAAGGCGGCAUUCUGGACUGCAACUGACACUGAGAGACGAAAGCCAGGGGAGCAAACGGG